UGGGGGCACCCGGGUGGCUCAGUCGGUCAGGUGUCUGACUUUGGCUCAGGUCACGAUCUUGCCGUUCAUGGGUUCGAGCCCCAUGUCGGGAUGUGUGCGGACGCCUCAGAGCCUGGAGCCUGCUUCACAUUCUGUGUCUCCCUCUCUCUCUGCCCCUCCCCUGCUCAUGCUCUGUCUCUGUCUCUCAAAAAUAAGUAAACAUUGAAAACAAAUUUUUUUAAGAAGCAGCUUCUUGAUCUCUCCUAUGAUAAUCCGGUUAAGUACUGGAUCUGGGGCUGGUUCGGUGGCUCUUAUGUCAGGGAGCCAGGCUCCUUCUGUUUUCCUGCUCUACCACCCUGGGGUGUAGCCCUCAUCCAGACGAGGCCUUUGUACUGUUGAAAUCUUCAUUUCCUCCACAGUGUGGCGCCAGGCCGCUCUCUGCCGCUGCCCUGCCCUGGAAACACACGCAGCCUAAGCACCAUUCCUGCCUCUGCUCUGGGCCUCGGGACUUUUCUUCUUCUUGAAUGAGUGUGCUCCCGCCCCCCAGCUGGUGCUCCACGCCAUCCCCCAGGUCUCAACAACAUACCCCCACCAGGACCACAGGAGCCAGAGCUGGUCGUGCCUGGUGGUCCUCAGGACUGAGAGGCCCUGACCUCCGUGGGGGCAGGAGCCGGCCAGCAUGACCAGUCGGGACUCCCAGGUUAAGAAUCCAGUUGAGCCUCCUGGUCCUCCUCAAUCUGCUCUGCCCUUCGUCUCCCACCCCCAAAUCCCUGCCGACCUCCAGCCCUGAAGAAGCCGGAGAACCUCUGCUUCCCCCACCUCCCCGUCCGCCUUGUCCUACUUCAGUAGUUUGGCUCCUCCGAGCCCUCUUCUUGAUUCAACCUUGCUUGGCCUGUGAAGACUUGAACAAACACGGACGUGGUUGCUGGCAGCUCGUGGCCGCAUCCCUAGUAGGACCCUAGCCUCCCUUAAAGUGCCUGCCUGCAAAACUCCCGGCUGUCUAAAGGAUUGGCUGCUGAGUCCAGCCAACGCCUGAAGAUCGGGCCCCUAUACUGCAUUGCCAAUAGUCCAUCCAGCUUUCAUUCCAGUGAGAACGUUCCGGAGAUGAAACUAAGAAUCAACUCCAGGCGCUUCUCCAGUCACCUCUGGGGAUGAGUGUAUGUCGUCAGCAUCCAGCGCCUCACCUGCUGCCCAGCUAGAAUGACACCUUUCAGGGUUUCUGACUUAGAAACACAACCACCAGGUUACUCCACGUGGACACCACCCCCCUUUUACAAAGCCUUUGAACACCCACCCAUCAGGAGGGGUUUGCUGGAUAAUGUUGGUUGGCUCUUGACACCCAUUUCUAGCCCCUUCUUUGCAGGUCCUGGAAACCCACGAACCAUCGUUCACAGAUUCCCUCGACAGCAGAAUUCUGCCGAUAAAGCGUACCUGUGUGAAAUUUGGAAGGCGGAGGUGGAAGGAGGUGGAAGCCAUGCUUUUCUCCUCUGUAGCAGCAGACAUGCAGGCUGAAUGUUGGAGUCCAUACUCCCCACCAGUCAGGCUUGGGGCCAUGGGGCUGUAGUGACCCCGGCAGUGGCUUCCCGAAGUUUCCUGACCGAGUGGCAGCAGCAACUUUGAAUCUAUGGAAAGCAACUGUGGUAAAGUAACCUGAGAGCUAGUGGUGCGAUUCCCCCCUGGCCCUGACCUUCACCACCGCGAGCCCCACCAGUGGUGAGCACCAAUUGCUUGUAUGACCUUUGUGUGUGUGUGUGUG